rnacentral:miRNA from 1 species
CUUAUUAAAACCAUUUACGCGUUUCACCUUUGGGGUUUUUACCAUUUUGAGAAAACCCCAAAGGUGAAACGCGUAAAUGGUUUUAAUAAGUGUAUUUUAAU